CCUACGGGUGGCAGCAGUGAGGAAUAUUGGUCAAUGGCCGGAAGGCUGAACCAGCCAAGCCGCGUGAAGGACGAAGGUGCCAAGCAUUGUAAACUUCUUUUGUCAAGGAGCAACAUCAGGCUCGAGAGCCUGACCGAGGGUACUUGAAGGAAAAGCAUCGGCUGACUUCGUGCCAGCAGCCGCGGUAAUACGGAGGAUGCGAGCGUUAACCGGAUUUAUUGGGUUUAAAGGGUGCGUAGGCGGACUGUUAAGUUAGCGGUAAAAGCCCGGGGCUCAACCCCGGCGAGCCGUUGAAACUGGGGAUCUUGAGAGGGCGAGAGGUAUGCGGAAUGCGUGGUGUAGCGGUGAAAUGCGUAGAUAUUGCGCAGAACUCCGAUUGCGAAGGCAGCAUACCGGCGCCGAUCUGACGCUGAGGCACGAAAGCGUGGGUAUCGAACAGGAUUAGAUACCCGUGUAGUC
rnacentral:rRNA from 1 species